rnacentral:tRNA from 1 species
CGGAGCGUAGCGUAGUCCGGUUAUCGCACCAGUUUUGGGAACUGGGGGUCGCAGGUUCGAAUCCUGCCGCUCCGA